ACGCUCGACCCACUGACGGAGCCCCGUGUCUCCGUCCUCACCUGUCUCGGGGCCGAGCCCAGCCGUCCACACAGGCCUGGCUGCGAUCAGCAAACACACGGCCUCCAGCCCCAGCCCCAGAGGCAACGCGAGGAGAGCAUUUGCCGAAAAACCAAACAAGGACGUACCGCAGAAGCUCGUUGCCAUUAUAUCAGCUUCUGGAACAAACCCUGGCAUUAAGUGCUGUCUGGGGCCAGGGGCUGCAUAAGAGAUGCGUUAUUUUAAUAAAUAUAGGAUGAUCCAGCCGGGGAGAUGGGGACGGCGUGGCAAGAUUCUCAUUAAAACUGCAGACACAGAUUUCCAUGGAGAGUGGUGCCUGGCCUUGCCUCGGAGAUCUCUCUGGGCUGACUCGGGAUGGAAAAGGGGUGGCCGGGAAGCGGGGACCCUGCCCCUCUUCCCAGCCAGCCCGGCCACAGUGCCCAUGACCUCGCUGCAUUGUGCUCUCCGGAUAAUACCUGCCAGGAAUUUUGUUUCAGAUCGCUGAGCCGUGCCCCACCCCCCAGCCCAUAUCUGAAUGCUGGAGCGCGGCUUCCAAAACCUCCUGGAAGAAAGCCGGCGACUGGGAGGUUUGGUGCCAAGGCGUGGCAGGUGCAGCCGGGCAUGGAGGAAGGGGCGAAGUCUGUGCCAAGAAACCACUUUGCAAGUCAAGAUGCAUCCAUCAGCGGGAAACAGUGUGGCCGCGUCCAUCCAGUGCUCGGAAAGGACGAUUCACCGGGGCUCAAAGCAGUUACUGGAGGCCUGGUGGGUUUCAAGACCCUCUCCCUCCUUUAUCACCUGAUCCCACCCCCACCAUGGCCCCGGGGGCAGAGGGGAGCCCUUUGUCCCCCAAGGGGGCUUGAGAAAGUCAGAAUGAUCGUGAAGAGCCUUUAAAACCUCCACAAAAUAAGGAGCACCAUGUUUUUGUGCAUGUAGGACACACGCACCUUACAAACGGUGCCACGCACCUACCACACGCGUCCAUGCGUGAUAGAAUAGCGCAUAUAUAAAGGGGCGCCGGGGUGGCUUAGUCGGUUAAG